AGAAAAUUAGUUUAUUUAAAACAUUAAUUUGUCAAGUUAAAAAAAUUUAUUAAUAUUUUCUA
rnacentral:tRNA from 1 species